UGGUCCUAGCCUUGAAAUCAACUACUACUCAGCUUAUACAUGCAAGUCUCCGCACCCCUGUGAAAACGCCCUUAUAUCACCUUAGGAUUCAGGAGCCGGUAUCAGGCGCUAACCAUUAAGCCCAAGACACCUAGCUAUGCCACACCCACAAGGGUAUUCAGCAGUAAUUAACAUUGACCAUAAGCGAAAGCUUGACUCAGCCAGGGUAAACAGGGCCGGCAAAUCUGGUGCCAGCCGCCGCGGCCAUACCAGAGGCCCAAGCUGAUUUCACUCGGCGUAAAGCGUGAUUAAAGUAACCCUAAACUGCAGUCAAACCAGAACUAGGUCGUGAAAAUCCUGAGCCUGGGGGGCACAAAAACGAAAGUAACUGCAACACAAUCCACUUGACCUCACGACAGCUAGGGUACAAACUGGGAUUAGAUACCCCACUAUGCCUAGCCGUAAACUUUAAUUUACACCCAAAUCGCCAGGGAACUACGAGCAACGCUUAAAACCCAAAGGACUUGACGGUGCCCCAUAUCCACCUAGAGGAGCCUGUCCUGUAAUCGACAACCCCCGUUAAACCUCACCACUCCUUGCUUUUCAGCCUGUAUACUUCCGUCGUCAGCUUACCACGUGAGCGAUUCCCAGUAAGCGAGAAGGCCUACACCAAAACGUCAGGUCAAGGUGCAGCUUAUGGAGUGGGAAGAGAUGGGCUACACUCUCUACUUUAGAGAACACGAAUGAUUUAACAUGAAACAUUAUCAGAAGGCGGAUUUAGUAGUAAAGGGGGACAAGAGUGCCCCCUUUAACACGGCCCUGGGGCGUGUACAUACCGCCCGUCAUCCUCUUCGAAGCAACAAGAGCAGUAUUUAACAACAUUUAGCUACUAAGAAGAGGCAAGUCGUAACAUGGUAAGCUUACCGGAAGGUGUGCUUGGAAA
rnacentral:rRNA from 1 species